CGAUGGUUCAUUCAAAUUUCUGCCCUAUCAACUUUCGAUGGUAGGAUAGUGGCCUACCAUGGUUUUAACGGGUAACGGGGAAUAAGGGUUCGAUUCCGGAGAAAGGGAGCCUGAGAAACGGCUACCACAUCCAAGGAAGGCAGCAGGCGCGCAAAUUACCCAAUCCCAAUUCGGGGAGGUAGUGACAAUAAAUAACAAUAUAGGGCUCUUUUGGGUCUUAUAAUUGGAAUGAGUACAAUUUAAAUCACUUAACGAGGAACAAUUGGAGGGCAAGUCUGGUGCCAGCAGCCGCGGUAAUUCCAGCUCCAAUAGCGUAUAUUAAAGUUGUUGCAGUUAAAAAGCUCGUAGUUGAAAUUUUGGGCCUGGACGGGCGGUCCGCCGGCAAGGG
rnacentral:rRNA from 1 species